AGGCCGCAGACGCCGGAGCUGGGGAUGCUCCUGGCCCGGGGCGGGCCGAUGGGGUGCGGGCUGCGGCCCGGGCGGGUGGAGCUGGGGCCGAGCGGGCUGGGGGACUUGGCGUCCGUCCAGUUACUUGGGGCUCCCGCGGGGUGGUCCCCUGUGGGUCCCUCGUGCCUGCGGUACCAAGGGCAACGCCAACAAAACGCCUGGCCGCAUGCGCCUGUAGCCAGCUAUUUUUCUUUGGCCUUAUUUUGACCGAUUUACAGCUGCUGGAAUCCUGAUGUGGAACCUCCGACUUCCCAACGGAAGAGGAAAGGCCCAGUACCUAAAACUGAUUUAUGGACAGAAACUCCCGAAGCAUGAGAAGCGUGUGGCCUCUCCGCCCUCUCCUUGCAGGGCGGGCAGCGCUGGCAUCCAGGUCGUGCGCUGCCUUCAUUUCAGCCACUUCACAUUCUCAGCCUUUCAAACACCACCCGUCUCCCUCCUUUCCAAAAUAAAACUGAAAUUAGAUUUUAUUAAUUAGGAAAUGACGUCCCAAUUAAACCACCUUGUGUUUCACAUAACACAUUUCUAAACAACUUUUAAAAUAUUUGGUGUUUAAACAAAGGAAAAACAUCUAAGGUGACACAGCGAUGAAGGGAGAACCUCCGCUUGGAGGCUGCUACAUGUUACAGCCGCAAGACAUCCGACCCGCACUGUGGAAUCUUUCUCUGUCUUACUUAAACAGGAGUUGGGACUAAGGAAAGUGUUAUUCCUCAAGUGUGUGGCUGCAGACUCCAGUCUUUUAGACAUUUGAAGUAAGUUUUACAGUGAGGUGCACAAAUCUUAACUAUACAGCUUUAAUGAAUUUUCACCCAUAUUUGCACUUUUAUCUAACCGUGUCCUGGUUGAGAUUUAGGACAUUUCCCGUGGCACAGAAAGCUCCUCUGCCCCUUCCCGGGCUAUAUCCCCAUCAUUCUAACCCUGCUCCCCGUAACAGCGUUCCUGACCUUCCUAUAGAGAUGGAAGCAUGCACUCUGUACUCUUUGCGUCCUUUCACGGUUCGCAUCGUGUCUGCCACUCUCCGGGAUGGUCCCAGUAGUACACAGGAGCACUGCAGCAGUUGGAUGGACUGCACUCCUCUUAGAGACUGCCUUCACUUCACCAGGGAUUCAAGAUUAACCCAAAGGAAAGGACACGGGUUUCAUUUCCAUGGUAAAAUGAUCCUAUCCUAGUACCAUCUACAGUCAGAAAUACUUAGGAAUUAUAAGGCAGAGGUUUGCACGUUGGAGAGGUUGUUUAACCCUCUACAACCUUUGAGUCAUUCAUUCUAGGUUUUCUUAUGUUGGAAGAUAAAACUGUAUUUGAAUUAGUCCUUUUGUAAACCAAAAAGUGUCUGAGACAGAUCUCAAUCAGUUUAGAAGUUUAUGUUGCCAAGGUUAAGGAUCAUGACCAGUGACACAGCCUC
rnacentral:lncRNA from 10 species